AUUGAACGCUGGCGGCAGGCUUAACACAUGCAAGUCGAGCGGAGAUGAGGUGCUUGCACCUUAUCUUAGCGGCGGACGGGUGAGUAAUGCUUAGGAAUCUGCCUAUUAGUGGGGGACAACAUUCCGAAAGGAAUGCUAAUACCGCAUACGCCCUACGGGGGAAAGCAGGGGAUCUUCGGACCUUGCGCUAAUAGAUGAGCCUAAGUCGGAUUAGCUAGUUGGUGGGGUAAAGGCCUACAAAGGCGACGAUCUGUAGCGGGUCUGAGAGGAUGAUCCGCCACACUGGAACUGAGACACGGCCCAGACUCCUACGGGAGGCAGCAGUGGGGAAUAUUGGACAAUGGGCGGAAGCCUGAUCCAGCCAUGCCGCGUGUGUGAAGAAGGCCUUUUGGUUGUAAAGCACUUCAAGCGAGGAGGAGGCUACCUGGAUUAAUACUCUAGGAUAGUGGACGUUACUCGCAGAAUAAGCACCGGCUAACUCUGUGCCAGCCGCCGCCGUAAGAC
rnacentral:rRNA from 1 species